rnacentral:tRNA from 1 species
GCAAUAUGAUGUAAUUUGGUUAACAUCUUAGGCUCAUGACCUAAUUAUAUACGUUCAAAUCGUGUUAUUGCU